GACCGGUCGGUGGGGGAUAACUGCGCGAAAGCGCCGCUAAUCCCGCAUAUCCUCGCAAGAGAAAAGCGCCUCAAACGCGCCGACCGCCGAGCCCGCGGCCCAUCAGGUCGUUGGCGGGGUAAUGGCCCACCAAGCCGGUGACGGGUCGCUGGUCUGUGAGGACGACCAGCCAGACUGGGACUGAGACACGGCCCAGACUCCUACGGGAGGCAGCAGCAAGGAAUUUUCGGCAAUGGGCGCAAGCCUGACCGAGCAACGCCGCGUGCAGGAUGACGGCCUUCGGGUUGUAAACUGCUUUUCGGGAGGACGACAUCGACGGUACUCCCACAAUAAGCCCCGGCUAACUCUGUGCCAGCAGCCGCGGUAAGACAGAGGGGGCAAGCGUUGUCCGGAUUGACUGGGCGUAAAGGGCCCGCAGGUGGUUUGGCACGUGUGGCGUGAAAUCGGACGGCUUAACCGUCCGCCGCCGUCGCAUACGGCCUCACUUGAGCGUUGCAGAGGUGCGCGGAAUUGCCGGUGUAGUGGUGAAAUGCGUAGAGAUCGGCAGGAACACCAAGGGGGAAGCCAGCGCACUGGGCAACUGCUGACACUCAGGGGCG
rnacentral:rRNA from 1 species